GGAACAGAAAAUGCAGAGUUCAUUUCAAAGCUCUGUAUUCUCUUCCCCGUUCUUCAGAGUAGGUUUCCACCCUGGGACUGUCUUCUAAGGCAAACUAUCACCAAUGGAAGUAAAAUUUGUUUUUCCAGCGUUCUGGGGCUUUGAAGUUGUGAUCGUUCUGGAGAAGAAAUACAUCGAGUGAUGCAUGUUGGCCCCCAGCAAGGGUGAGAAUUUUGAAGAAAUGUUGCAUCUCAUGCAGCUUUAUAGUAGUCACAAACAAGUUAUUAAUGCUAAAGCACAAGAAUCCCUUACUGUUAGCUGGUCUGAAUACUGCUGGCUCAUCAGCUGUGCCAAAUCCAGCACUGUAGUCUGUAGGUCUCUGCAGACUUUCUUGGUGUUUUCUUUACCUACAUCCUUGUUCUCUCUGUACUGUGCCUGCACAGUGCAGGAUGGCAGGGGACCCUUUCUCAUCCAAUUCAAGGACUUUGGGGUAUGUUGGGACCCUGUGCUGGCAUUGCAUCUCAUUUUCUUUCAGGGCUGAAAACGAUGCAGUCACUGCAGCAAGGAGGCGUGUUGCCCCUUCAGCCGGGAUGUGGUAGGAGUGUGCUCGCAGAUCUGGGUACUUGGUUCUUCUCAUUUUUGUGUAGCCCAUGUUGCUGGAGAGCUUGUGGCUUGUGCAUGCUGUUUUCCUCGUGUUCAGGUUUUCUGGUAGUUUCUUAUUUCAUGGUAGUGUUACUCUUAUUUCUCUUGCAGAUCUUCAGCUAUCCAAUGAUUUUCUUCACUGUCUGAUUUACAUAUGUGCUAUUUACAUAUAACUAUUCUAAUCUCUACAGUCUGAGGUCAGUUGGUGGCUAAUGCAGAUGCUCUCAGAGGCUAAACUAACACUUAACAAAGCUAUUUAAUUUUUAAUUAUGAAGUUUGGAGGAGGGACAGUGACUCAUAAUUCUUAAAUUUCUUCUAGUUGUAAAAAAUCAUCAAAGCAAAUACAAGUAAGUAAAUUUGGGCAGGUUAUCUCUCCUGCUGAUAAUAAAUGGGAUCAUGAUCUGGCAUUUGUAGUUUUUAUUUCUCAUAGCAUUCAAAUAAUUCCUGUCUGAUUUCAUCUACUGAGGUUGUGUUGCAGUAACUGUCAGUGUUCCUCUGCUGGGAUCAAUCACUAAAGUAGCUGAGAACAAUUGAGUGUUUUUUUUUUUCUGGGAAACUUUUCUUCCUGUAAAGGGGCUUUAAUUUUUUUCUGCAGUGUCUUCGUAUUACAUCACCAAGUACUGAGAUACUGUCCUUCAAAAUGAUUUUCUCUAUCAGAAGAGGAGAAAAACCAGUGUGCACACAAAAACCCCACAAACUUACCAGACUUAACUUGAUUGCUUAUGCCUUCUUGUCGACCCAAACAGUAUUCCCAAUAGGAAUAGUUAUGUAUAAAGAUUUCUCUGAAGGAUAGACUCAGGCUGCUUCAUAAAUGAAUUUAACUU
ensembl:lncRNA